AUAUUGUACUGUCACUGAGCGAAGUGCAGGUGGAGGAUAAAAUUCAUCCGUAUUAAUAUGUUAAUUUCUAAACGCGUCAAUAAUUUAGGGGGAAAAAAACGUCAUCUUAUCGGCUGGGGGGCGACAGUCUUGAAAUUAAAAUAUGUUUACGGCGAACACAUUCUCCCCUUCACGCUCCUCCCUUCGCAACGCGGAGAGACGUUAAUUCGCGGGUGUCGACGUGGCGCGUGGCGUCGCGUGACUGGACGGAUUUGGCGCCCCCGCGUCUAACGAAGGUUCUAGAUUCGUGUUCUCUGUGCUUUUAAGGGGGCGAAAGUGAACUAUUUGACGUGUACGUUGUCGGGGUGGCAUUAACCUCUUGUCGCCCCGGGGGUUCUGAGCACUUCUGUUUACAGGGGAGGUGCCAACGGAUGUGUCUAAUUGGGACAACACCUGGUCCUCAUUUCCCUAACAGGACCGAGGCGCUGUCCAAGGAACCCCAAUGGCUGUCACUGUGUCCUCCUAAACCUCCACUCGCGUCCCGACGACUAGAAGCAGUGGCAGAAUUUCCAGUCAAACUGGUAAUUUCCUACUUGUGCACCAAUGGAGAAGCAUCUUCUCCAGCCUCAGUUCCCACACGUCACACCUACCGUAUACAGCUGGGCCAUUGGUGACCUUUGCAGUCGCUGAUAAUUUCCCGACAUUUUCCUAGUUUUGCUCUGAAAUUGGUUCUCUGACCUUCUGCGACUGGACCAUCACCAGGCCUGUCCAUAAGGAAUCCACAGAAACGCCCCCAGAACCGAAAGGCGCGGCACUGUGCAUCACCCGCCACCUGGCACCGCCCGCGCCACCCGGUCCUAUCGAGUUUUCAUACACCACGUCGGGGAAACUGUCGCAAAGCCGAACUGGAACGUUCUGUAUUCUGCAGGGAGACCCCUUUAGGAAAACAAAGCAUAAACAAGAUGUAAAAAUGUUGGGAUUAUUCUCUGAUAUUUCCACUGUCCUGUGGGUCCCCUUAAAUAUGCAGUUUUGUAUUUCAGAUGUUUUUUUUUCCCCCCUCAUAAAACAGAUAGGCCAGACAGUGCUUAUUGCUUAAAAUUACAUACUUGGUGUUUCUUGCGGGGGCACGGCGGGUUUGGCCCGUACCGCUCUCUGGUCGGUCUGGGGUUCGAGUCCUGCUUGGGGUGCCUUGCGAUGGACUGGCGUCCCGUCCUGGGUGUGUCCCCUCCCUCCUCUGGCUUUGCGCCCUGUGUUGCCGGGUUAGGCUCUGGCUUGCCGUGACCCCGCUCAGGACAAGCGAUUUCAGCCUGUGUGUGUGUAUGUGUAUGUUUCUUUCAUUCUGGGAAUAUGGGGAAAGGGGCUCGAUGCUCCCUGGUGAAUAAGGUUCUAUGGCAGACCGAAAGGCAGGUGAAGCGAUGGACAGUUGGCACCAAUAUCCACGGGACAGAGGAAUGUAGAACACAGUAGCACCUUUUCACUUCAUUCUUGUGAGAAGUUCUUAUAAGUGUUGGUCUCCGGUCUAAGAAGAUCCCCAAAGUAGGAGCUCCACAAGCAGGACAGCUUUGAGGUCAGGUUUUGACUUUCUCCCAGCCUUACAUGUUAUGGGCUCAAGUAGGUACAGUAGUUGUAACUGAUUCUGGGAGUCCCUGAUCUUCAUGUGAAAAGCUAGUACAUCUGCUGAUGUUCCGGCAAUAAAACCAGGCUGUUAUCUGAUGCUCGUAAACA
ensembl:lncRNA